UUGACAGAACGAGCUAAAACAUACUACCUAUAACCUUUUAAGAAAAAAAAAAACGGAGUUUACUUGUUUAGUGCACAUAUAUGUAAAGAGAAUUUGAGGUUAUAUAUUAUAUGAAACAAUAUGUCAUCUGUUACAAUCUUGAAUUUGUUCCACAAGCGCCCGGAAAAUGGAGAUACAUUAUGGCGAAUGUGGCCCUUACGGGGUAGACACAGUCAAGAGUUGCGGAACUCGUUUAACUUUUUAAAUUCGCAGAACUUUAGCUGCAAACGAAUUCGAGUGAAUGAUUCAUCAGAAGGUCAAUUAUUGGUCGAUUUUGUAAUGGUCUUGGUUUUAUUUUUCUGUCUUGGGAUUAUAGAUUUAACAACGACUUUAAAACCUCUGUUAAUUUUAAUGGUUAACUGACGCCUGAUUUAGACAACAAUAGUGAAACUGGGUUUUAUUGGUGGAAUUGGAUGUUAAUUAAAUAGAAGUAUUCUUUUUUUUAUGUUGCUCUCAGGUCCCACUGCUGGGCAAAAGCCUCCCCUCUUUGUUUCAAACCACUUCUAUUCCCCGCCAGUUGUUGCCAAUCUUUAUCGAAGGCCGACAGUUCGUCAGACCAUCGCACCUUCGGCUUGCCUUGCGAUCUUUUCCCAUCAUCAGUCUCUUCUUUCCCAUCUUUCCGGCGCCAUGCGGCUCACAUGACCCGCCCAAUCCCAAGAAGUAUUCUACGUUACUGAAAUAAAUAUUUUAACCUUCUUAA